rnacentral:rRNA from 1 species
UACGAAGGGGGCUAGCGUUGCUCGGAAUCACUGGGCGUAAAGCGCACGUAGGCGGCUUGUUAAGUCAGGGGUGAAAUCCUGGAGCUCAACUCCAGAACUGCCUUCGAUACUGGAAGACUUGAGUCCGGGAGAGGUGAGUGGAACUGCGAGUGUAGAGGUGAAAUCGUAGAUAUUCGCAAGAACACCAGUGGCGAAGGCGGCUCACUGGCCCGGUACUGACGCUGAGGUGCGAAAGCGUGGGAGCAACAGGAGUAGAAC